rnacentral:lncRNA from 1 species
CAAUGCUGCCGGGGCCUGGCUCCCGCACCCCAUACUCAGGCCGGGUCAUGGGGUGGUGGUGGCGGCUCCUGUUGGGGCUGUGGGCAGUGCCCCCCACGUGUACUGGGCGCGAGCUGCUCAAUGUCUGCAUGAAUGCCAAGCCCCACAAGCCAAAGCCCAGCCCGGAGGCUGAGCUCUAUGAGGAGUGCAUCCCCUGGAAGGACAACGCCUGCUGCACGGCCAGCACGAGCUGGGAAGCACACUUGGAUGUGUCUCUGCUCUACAACUUCAGCCUGGUUCACUGCGGACUAAUGAUGCCGGACUGCCAGAGGCACUUCCUCCAGGCCAUCUGCUUCUACCAGUGCUCCCCCAACCUGGGGCCUUGGAUCCAGAAGGUGGACCCGCGCUGGCAGGCGGAGCGGGUUCUGGACGCGCCCCUGUGCCUGGAGGACUGUGAGCGCUGGUGGGCAGACUGCCGCACCUCCCACACCUGCAAGUCCAACUGGCUCGGCAGCUGGGCCUGGAGUAGGGGGAAGCCCCGCUGCCCCGAGCGGGCGCCCUGCCGCCCCUUCCCGCACUACUUCCCCACGCCCGCCAACUUGUGUGAGCGGAUCUGGAGCGGCUCCUUCAGGGCGAGCCCGGAGCGCAGGGGCAGCGGGCGGUGUCUGCAGAAGUGGUUCGAGCCCGCCCGGGGCAACCCCAACGCGGAAGUGGCCCGCCGCUUCGCCAGCCCCGCACGCUCCUGGGCGCUGCCCCGGCUGGCCUUGCCUCUGCUCCUGCCUCUCCUCUCCUGA